rnacentral:rRNA from 1 species
UCUGGUGGUUAGAGCGGGGUGGAACCACCCGUUCCCAUUCCGAACACGGCCGUGAAACGCCCCAGCACCGACGAUACUUUGCUCGAGAGGGUAUGGGAAAAUAGGUCACUGCCAGGA